rnacentral:rRNA from 1 species
GUCUACGACCAUGCCACCCUGAACAUGCCGGAUCUCGUCUGAUCUCGGAAGCUAAGCAGGGUCGGGCCUGGUUAAUACUUGGAUGGGAGACUGCUUUGGAAUACCAGGUGCUGUAGACG